rnacentral:rRNA from 1 species
AGAACGAACGCUGGCGGCAGGCCUAACACAUGCAAGUCGAACGCUGUAGCAAUACAGAGUGGCAGACGGGUGAGUAACGCGUGGGAACCUUCCCAGUGGUGCGGAAUAGCUCAGGGAAACUUGAGGUAAUACCGCAUAAGCCCUUAGGGGGAAAGAUUUAUCGCCAUUGGAUGGGCCCGCGUCGGAUUAGCUAGUUGGUGAGGUAAUGGCUCACCAAGGCAACGAUCCGUAGCUGGUUUGAGAGAAUGACCAGCCACACUGGGACUGAGACACGGCCCAGACUCCUACGGGAGGCAGCAGUGGGGAAUCUUGGACAAUGGGCGCAAGCCUGAUCCAGCCAUGCCGCGUGAGUGACGAAGGCCUUAGGGUUGUAAAGCUCUUUUGCCGGGGACGAUAAAUGACGGUACCCGGAGAAUAAGUCCCGGCUAACUUCGUGCCAGCAGCCGC